rnacentral:lncRNA from 1 species
GGGAGGGGGAAUGAAGUGCCAGCAGUGGAAAUGGUGAGAAAUGAAUCCAUUCUAGAAAUACUUUGAAGGUAGACUCAGCUGGCUUCACUGGCUGAUUGGCUGUGCGUUGUAAGAGAGUAGGAUCAACCCUAAAGGGGAAUGAAGUGCUGAUACAGGCUAAAACAUGCUUGAACCUCAAAACACUUGGCUAAGUGGAAGAAGUCAGGUCCUCUAAGUUGUUGCCAAGAAGGACAACAACCUCGGCUAUUUGGGAGUGGGCUGAGAAGCCAAGCCGGAGAUGGUGAAGCAAUCCUGGACUCAGCAACAUCAGGAAACUACUCUCACAGUAGAGACGGGGUUUCACCAUGUUGCCCAGGCUGGUCUCCAACUCCUGGACUCAAGCCAUCCUCCCACCUCGGCCUCCCAAAGUGCUGGGUUUACAGGCGUGAGCUACCGCACCCAACCUGUGUCUCUGCAUUUAUAUAAAUAAAUAUAUAUACCCAUUUAAAUGUAUUCUAUUGUUUUACAAGGUUUUGUGUAAAUACUGUAAUGUUAUAUUGUAGCCGUUGUUCUGCAACUUGUUUUUUUCUCUCACGCCCCACAUCCAAUUCUUCAGCAAAUUACGUCAACUCUUCCUGGGCACUGUAUCCAGAAUCUGGGCACCUCCACGGCUUUCACCCUGCCCCCUGCUCUGCCCUUGGCACCCUUAGUUCAUCUUAGUUCAUUCUCAGCAAUCCCUUUUAUUUAAUUUUAUUUUU